rnacentral:rRNA from 1 species
AAACAUGUCUCUAUGGAUAGUAUUUAGAGUCUAGCCGCCCAYKRRGRRRARKYYUUUGAAGGGCUGCGGAAUUUUAACCGUGCGAAGGUAGCAUAGUCAUUAGUCUUUUAAUUGGAGGCUGGAAUGAACGGUUGGACAAGAAGUUGACUGUUUCUGUGGUAGUUAUUGAACUUUACUUUUAAGUGAAAAGGCUUAAAUAUGUUUAGGGGACGAUAAGACCCUAUAAAAUUUAGACAAAUUAGUUUAGCAAACAAAUUGAGGUUUAAAGGUAGUUAAAUGUUUGUUGUUUUGUUGGGGUGAUAGAGAUAUAACUUGAUAAAGUAGCUGUCUUUAAAAAUGAAAUAWAUUUAUUUAGAGAUUGUGAUCUUUUAUUAUAGAUUAAAAGAUUAAAUUACUUUAGRGAUAACAGCGUAAUUGUUCUUGAGAGUCCUUAUCGACAGUAGUUAGUUGCGACCUCGAUGUUGAAUUAAAGUUUCCUUCAGGUGUAKAAGCUUGUUUGGUAGGUCUGUUCGACCUUUAAAACUUUACAUGAUUUGAGUUCAAACCGGUGAGAGCCAG